GGCCAGCAUCAGUUUGAGCGGUAGGANAAUUGCGUAGGAAUGUGGCUCGGCCUCGGUCGAGUGUUAUAGCCUUCGUCGAUACUGCCAGCUUAGACUNAGGACUGCGCUNCGGCCNAGGAUGUUGGCAUAAU
rnacentral:rRNA from 1 species